UAGAAUCUGUAGGGCAUGGAGACUGCUCUGUGGCACAACUAGAGAAGGAGAGAUGUGGGGGACAGUUGGAAGAGUGGUAAAGCAGUAGAGGCAGAAUGCUCAUUUUGGUAAUCAAGGAGCACCAAAACAUAACAAAUGAAUUCUCCCCGAUACCUCCUAAGGAUGAUGACUUAGCACUCACUUUCUCUAGAAGUAAUGGCUACAGAGUUGAAGAGGGGCAGAUAAUCCAGGAUCUUCCCAGAAGAGACAUUCCCACAGCAGGCAGGUUGUUGGUGGUACGGUGGGAACAAGUACUCGGGCCAAGGAGAAUCAAGAUAAAGACUACCUCUCCCACUUGUUAGUAAGCUUUCCAGGUAAUUUGCCUGGAUAGUUAUAAAGGCCUGAAAAAUCAAGAUUAUUUCCACCAUUACUAUAACAAAACAGCUAACGAAGAAGUAUAUUCUGGCAAGAAUCAAUAAGAAUUGCAAAGCCUGAGAGGGUCAUCACAGACUUGAGAAAGGUAACUAAGUGAGGAGACAUCAAACGGAGCUAAUGGAGAUAGAGCAUUCUGUAAAAUGGAAAGUGUUUAACAAUCACUGACAGGAAAGGAUAUAUUUCAACAGCGAUGACAACAACAAAACAAAACAACCAAGAACAACUGGAAAUAUAUAUCUGCAGAAG
rnacentral:lncRNA from 1 species